rnacentral:rRNA from 1 species
GUCUAUGGCCACACCACCCUGAACGUGCCCUGUCUCGCCUGAUCUCGGAAGCUAAGCAAGGUCGGGCCUGGUUAGUAGUUGGGUGGGAGAAAUCGCCGUGGUGACCUCGUGAAUGAGGUGCUCUUGUAA